UUGAGCCCGGUGCGGGGAAACUCGCACGCCGGGUUCUUAGGGGGGGAUGGUGCAGUAAUGCACUGUCCCUACCCGAC
rfam:Gallionellales bacterium RIFOXYB12_FTLL_54_9 rifoxyb3_full_scaffold_21989, whole genome shotgun sequence.